UGGAUACCACUUCUUACAGCCUCAUCAUUACUUUGGAAUGAGACCUUCUUACAUAUCUGGUGAGAUGCCACACAGUAGAUUUCUUCUGGUGCUAAGGAGUUUUUCCUGUCUGUUGGUGGAGGAUAAGAUCAUGGGUGAAGGUCCUAUGGAUGUGCUAUUCCAAGAUAAUGCUUAUCUGAAGGAUGGGAGUAACUUGAAAGGCACCAAAGGCUCCUGAUGUCAGAACUAAGUGGACAGCUUUACAGUUUCCAGAUUUGGGUCAACAGCUUAACAGCUCUGCAGGUUUCUUUUGUCCCCCCCCCCCCUCCAGCUUUUAAAAACCCCUUCUUCAGUCUCAGGUGUGUGCAGCCUUUGGGUUGAUCCUGGAGACUGUGCUACCAGGCCUGGAA